rnacentral:rRNA from 1 species
AGCGAACGCUGGCGGCAGGCUUAACACAUGCAAGUCGAGCGGGCGUAGCAAUACGUCAGCGGCAGACGGGUGAGUAACGCGUGGGAACGUACCUUUUGGUUCGGAACAACACAGGGAAACUUGUGCUAAUACCGGAUAAGCCCUUACGGGGAAAGAUUUAUCGCCGAAAGAUCGGCCCGCGUCUGAUUAGCUAGUUGGUGAGGUAAUGGCUCACCAAGGCGACGAUCAGUAGCUGGCUGAGAGGAUGAUCAGCCACAUUGGGACUGAGACACGGCCCAAACUCCUACGGGAGGCAGCAGUCGGGAAUUUUCCACAAUGGGCGAAAGCCUGAUGGAGCAACGCCGCGUGCAGGAGGAAGGCCUUC